UACGUAGGUGACCAGCGUUGUCCGGAUUUACUGGGCGUAAAGAGCGCGCAGGCGGUCGUUCAAGUCGAGUGUGAAAGCCCCCGGCUCAACUGGGGAGGGUCACUCGAUACUGAUCGACUUGAAGGCAGGAGAGGGAAGCGGAAUUCCCGGUGUAGUGGUGAAAUGCGCAGAUAUCAGGAGGAACACCGGUGGCGAAGGCGGUUCUCUGGGCAUGUUCUGACGCUGAGGAGCGAAAGUGUGGGGAGCGAACAGG
rnacentral:rRNA from 1 species